AUUGAACGCUGGCGGCAGGCCUAACACAUGCAAGUCGAGCGGAUGAAGGGAGCUUGCUCCUGGAUUCAGCGGCGGACGGGUGAGUAAUGCCUAGGAAUCUGCCUGGUAGUGGGGGAUAACGUCCGGAAACGGGCGCUAAUACCGCAUACGUCCUGAGGGAGAAAGUGGGGGAUCUUCGGACCUCACGCUAUCAGAUGAGCCUAGUCGGAUUAGCUAGUUGGUGGGGUAAAGGCCUACCAAGGCGACGAUCCGUAAAUGGUCUGAGAGGAUGAUCAGUCACACUGGAACUGAGACACGGUCCAGACUCCUACGGGAGGCAGCAGUGGGGAAUAUUGGACAAUGGGCGAAAGCCUGAUCCAGCCAUGCCGCGUGUGUGAAGAAGGUCUUCGGAUUGUAAAGCACUUUAAGUUGGGAGGAAGGGCAGUAAGUUAAUACCUUGCUGUUUUGACGUUACCAACAGAAUAAGCACCGGCUAACUUCGUG
rnacentral:rRNA from 1 species